rnacentral:rRNA from 1 species
GAUGAACGCUGGCGGCGUGCCUAAUACAUGCAAGUCGAGCGAACAGAUGAGGAGCUUGCUCCUCUGACGUUAGCGGCGGACGGGUGAGUAACACGUGGAUAACCUACCUAUAAGACUGGGAUAACUUCGGGAAACCGGAGCUAAUACCGGAUAAUAUAUUGAACCGCAUGGUUCAAUAGUGAAAGACGGUUUUGCUGUCACUUAUAGAUGGAUCCGCGCCGCAUUAGCUAGUUGGUAAGGUAACGGCUUACCAAGGCAACGAUGCGUAGCCGACCUGAGAGGGUGAUCGGCCACACUGGAACUGAGACACGGUCAAGACUCCUACGGGAGGCAGCAGUAGGGAAUCUUCCGCAAUGGGCGAAAGCCUGACGGAGCAACGCCGCGUGAGUGAUGAAGGUCUUCGGAUCGUAAAACUCUGUUAUUAGGGAAGAACAAAUGUGUAAGUAACUAUGCACGUCUUGACGGUACCUAAUCAGAAAGCCACGGCUAACUACGUG